rnacentral:rRNA from 1 species
ACUCCUAGCGGUGGAUCACUAGGCUCGAAGAUCGAUGAAGAACGCAGUUAGCUGCGAUAAUUAGUGUGAAUUGCGGACACAUUGAACACAAAAAAUUCGAACGCACAUUGCGCCAUCGGGUUCUCUCCCGUUGGUACGUCUGGUUGAGGGUUAAAAU